rnacentral:tRNA from 1 species
GGGGCAUUAGCGCAGCUGGGAUUGAUCGUGCCCCGAAGGGGGACGAUGCCACUCCGGCGAGGAGCGUGCCACACUGGCAGUGUGGAGGUCACGGGUUCAAGUCCCGUAUGCUCCA